AAANGACUCUCGGCAACGGAUAUCUCGGCUCACGCAUCGAUGAAGAACGUAGCAAAAUGCGAUACUUGGUGUGAAUUGCAGAAUCCCGUGAACCAUCGAGUUUUUGAACGCAAGUUGCGCCCGAAGCCAUUCGGCCGAGGGCACGUCUGCCUGGGCGUCACACA
rnacentral:rRNA from 1 species